CAGUUACAUUGCUUCCAGUGGCGUACCUGGGCAUAUUAUGUACAGGAUGUAACUCGCGAAUCACAUAUUACUUUUGUUGUUUUGUUUUCCCUAACCAAACCACCUUAUAAUAUUGUUCUAUGUCCCUAACCUAGAUUGCAGAUUUUAUUUGUUUUGCUUCCUGAAUGAUUUAAUUAUCAUGGAUAAUUAUUAUUAUAUCGAUUUUGCGACUAUUUUGAACAAUCAUAGUGUUUGGUGUUGACUCCCUUAUCUAUAAUAUUCGGUUCUACGCUAAUUUUGAGUUAAAAACAAACAUUUUAGUGUUUGACUUUCUAAUAAAUUUUCCAGUGAUUUUUUUACUGUAUAAUUUCUUUUUUAGCUGCUGCAGUGCCUGUUUACGAUAAUUAUGGCACUAAAUCAACAUGUAUGCAAUCUGCAAAGUCUGUGAGAAGGAAUUUUCAAGCAUAUCAAUGAGAAACAGACAUCUUAAGAAGUUUCACCAAGAAUUUGUUGGCCAGGAAUACAAGAAACACAUUACAUGUCUAAUGUAUACCAACAGUACCUAGAUUUUAGGAAUUUUGAAUAAUAUACCUCUUGGAGGGCACAAAGUAAUAGGGAGAUUGAUUCUGAUUGUCAGAUCCAAAAUAAAUUUAAGAAUGGAGAAGAACAUAUAUUAUACAAUUAUAACAGGAGCGACAUUAAAAGUAGUAUAAACUCUUAGUCAUCAGACAUAAUUGUAUAUUUUGUUGUUUACUUUUAACAUUCAAUAUCUCAUGUAAAAGGAGAUGACACAAUAGAAAGGCCAAACUUGGUAACAAGAGGUAACAUGGCAUAUUUGAUAAGGAAAUAUAAUGUUGACAAGAAAAGAGACCAUUAUGAUAUGGUAGCCACUGCUUUAAGAAUUAAUGGGAAAGGAAAAAAUGGGGAAUUCUUAUCUGGGACUGAAUGAUAACAAUUUUGCUACAUACAUUGAAUUAUGGAGAAGAAAUCAAAAGAUUGUAAAUAUCAAUUUAAAGAGCCUAGGUGUUUGGUUUCUAUCUAUAUAGGUGUACCUAUAUUUUAUCUUGAGAGUAUUUUAGCUUAUUGGUAUUUUAUUUAUUUUCUAUUUAAAUUUUCAAAUGUACUUAAAUUUGGAUUGCUAUAUAAGUAUAAUACUUUUAGAGCGCCGAAAACCUAACUGAAUUGCUUCAAAACGGUGAUGGAAUGAUGAGGGACAGACCCUCUGCGAAUAUCUUUAUUUAUGAAAUUGUGUAAAGAAAAGUAUUUUUUUUUCUUUCAUGGUACUACAAAAAAAAUCUGUUGAAUGGAAGGUUGGGCUGUUCGUGACCAGCAGAGAUGACAAUGCUAGCUAAAGAAGUGCUACAGACCAAGCAUGAUAGAUUUAGUUUCUUCUCUACCAUUUUAAUUUUAAGUUGUUAUUAUUUAAUAUAAUACAUUUUGACCAAUCUUAAUAUAAUAUAGAGUCCAUAGUAUAGUUUAUUUUAAAAACUAUUAAUAUAAAACAUGUUAUUAUAAAAUUUAAAACAUUUCAGUAAGCUAGUCGGCAUUAAGAUAUUUGAUGAAUAUGAUGGGAAUUUUUUCAUUUCAAAGUAAUAUCACUGUCAUCACAAUGAUUUAAAUAAUUUUCAAAUUGUCUUUGAAAACUACUCAGCAAGUAAGCUGCCUCAAAAUAUUUAUGUAAUAUUUACUUCUUAUGGCGACUAUGAUGAUGCUAUGGGGUUUUAUCAAAACAAUGCAUAAACAGUUAUACAAAAAUUAAAAUAAACACACAUAUUUUUUAGGAUUAUUUGUAAUAUAUAUUUUGAUUUUAAUUGUUGUUAAAUAAAAGUUUAUAUGUUAUUCA